ensembl:lncRNA
AGCCUGUUGAAAUGUAACCUCACUUCAUUUGACCAUCUGCUUAAAACCAAUUAUAAAUGAAAGCCAGAAAUGUCUGGGUCUGGAUGCUGAGACAAGUUCCAUUUGAUGAGAACGAGAGGAGACGAUGAGGAGUGGCAGCUGUGGGAUUUUGGCCUGGUGACACACAGGUGACUUUGAGAGGAAAAUAAAAUCUUCAGCUGCAACCUGGUUUUGGGGCAGGCGGAGACAACCGUGAUGGAGGAAGUGAGGAUGCAUUCCAUGCUCUGUAGGACUGGACAUCUUUUUGCGGGUUGCUCAAGUGUCUGAAGGCUCAGCUGU